UACGUAGGGCGCAAGCGUUGUCCGGAAUUAUUGGGCGUAAAGAGCUCGUAGGCGGUUUGUCGCGUCUGCUGUGAAAACUCGAGGCUCAACCUCGGGCUUGCAGUGGGUACGGGCAGACUAGAGUGCGGUAGGGGAGACUGGAAUUCCUGGUGUAGCGGUGGAAUGCGCAGAUAUCAGGAGGAACACCGGUGGCGGAAGGCGGGUCUCUGGGCCGUAACUGACGCUGGAGGAGCG
rnacentral:rRNA from 1 species